rfam:Elusimicrobia bacterium GWF2_62_30 gwf2_scaffold_4904, whole genome shotgun sequence.
CGGGGCGUGGCUCAAUGGUAGAGCGUUCGCUUGGGGUGCGAAAGAUUGCGGGUCCGAUUCCCGCCGCCCCGA